rnacentral:tRNA from 1 species
GGCAGGAUGAACGACUGGUCUAAGGUACUGGUGUAAGGCACCAGUCACUUCGGUGGCGUAGGUUCGAGUCCCACUCCUGUUA